rnacentral:rRNA from 1 species
UACAGAGGUCCCAAGCGUUGUUCGGAUUCACUGGGCGUAAAGGGUGCGUAGGCGGUCAUUUAAGUCUGACGUGAAAUCUCCGGGCCUAACCCGGAAACUGCGUUGGAAACUAUCAGACUAGAGGAAUGGAGGGGAGACUGGAAUACUUGGUGUAGCAGUGAAAUGCGUAGAUAUCAAGUGGAACACCAGUGGCGAAGGCGAGUCUCUGGACAUUUCCUGACGCUGAGGCACGAAAGCCAGGGGAGCAAACGGG